GUAUAAGAGACAGCAGCAGCCACGGGAAUACGAGGGGUGCAAACGUUAUUCGGAAUGAUUGGGCGUAAAGGGUGCGUAGGCGGCCCGUUAAGUCAACUGUUAAAUUUCUCAGCUUAACUGAGAGUGUGCAGUAGAAACUGACAGGCUAGAGGGUGGAAGAGAGAAGUGGAAUUCUCGGAGUAGCAGUAAAAUGCGUAGAUCUCGAGAGGAACACCGAUGGCGAAGGCAGCUUCUUAGUCCAUUUCUGACGCUGAGGCACGAAAGCGUGGGGAGCAAACAGGAUUAGAUACCCCUGUAGUCCCUGUCUCUUAUAC
rnacentral:rRNA from 1 species